GGGCGGUAAAAGCUGAUGGUUUCAGCAGUCGGUCUGUAAAACCGAGCCGUUAAGGGAGUUGUUCGAUUCAACUACCGCCCACCA
rnacentral:tRNA from 1 species